UGGUACGCGUAUCAAGUAGUGAAUUUAAGCUGAUCAGCCAAUGAUUAAACACAUUCACUAGUUAUUUACUAUUUGAUACGCGUACCAAGUGCUCGGUGUAAAUUAGGCUAUAGAGAAGGUAUAAAGUGCUCUGUGUAAACCAGGGCAUAUAAUCUCUUAUGUAUUUUUCGUGAUCAGCGUUUGUGGCGCCGCCGCUGCAAGCGAACCAGCCGAACCGAACUAAAAUGCAAUAUGGCCGUUUAAAAUCAACAUGACAGUAGUAAUGAGUUUCGUUCAACAAGCAAAGUAAAGUGAAGCAAAGCUUACGAGCGAAGAAGGAGGUUAUUUCUUACGAACGGAAUAAUUUGAAACUGAUGACACCAGUAGCUGUUCCAAUUUGUACACCAGCCUUCGACACCAUAUAGAAUAAAGAUGCUGUCAGAGGAGUUAGAUGAGGGAGCUACAAUUAUAACCAAGAAAAAGCAAUCUGUGAUCACAUUACUUAGCUUCGACAAACGAUGACCUAAGUUCAACUGAUUGUAGGCUCUUUCUUACGUCCACGUGGAAUCAGCUGCUUCUUCGCAACUUGCAACAGGUUAAGGCUGCGUUCCGAUAUUAAUUGUCAGUACUGAAAAUUUACAGUAUAUGUGACGUAAACUAUAGAUUUUCAGUACUGGCAGUGAAUAUCGGAACGCAGCCUAAGUUACGAAGAAGCAGCUGAUUCCACAUGAACGUAAGAAAGAGGCUACAAUCAGUUGAACUUUGGUCAUAAUGGUCAUCGUUUGUCGAAGCUAAUGGGUGUCAAGACAAAUCACUUGAAUGCAAACUACUUUCCAGUAUGUUGUAGCGUAAGAAAGCAAGAAAAUUGUAUUGGAGGAGAAACAACGUGAUUUAGAGAAUAAGGUGCUCUGUCACAUAGAAUGUAAUUCUAUUAUAAAAACAUGUAAUGGUUCCAUAAAAUAAAUAAAUUAAAAAAAUUUAUUAAAUAUUAA